AGUUAAGGUGUUAUGAAUAAAAGGACUGAUAAACUUCUUCUGCCUCAUCAAGCUUACAGAAAGAGGCUGGUGUUGAACUCAAGGGCUGAAGCAUCUUAACUAAAUUUCUAAACAGUUGAAAUGGAGAACAGCUUCUUGAUCAAUUUAUUAAUUUCUGGUAGGACUUUAAAGAUUUCAGCAAGAUAUUACAAGAACCGUUACAUCAAUACAAUGAAUAAUAAUAAUAAUAAUACAAUGAAUAUAGUCAACCAUGCAGGCCAAACUAGCUGGAUUCUAUGUCCUUUAUUCAUGAAAUUUCUUUUUAAUGAAAA